GGUUAGGUGGCCAUUUUAGGGAGAGGACGGUGGCUGGUCUGGUGUGAGGAGGUGCUGCGCAGGUUACCUGUAAAAGCCACUGUCCCCAGUGACCAGAGUUAGAGAAAUGGCAACCAGAGAGCAGUGAGAGGUUCCCGCAGCAUAUCCACAGCUUCAAAUAAUCGCAGCUGACAUGGGAGUGUGGUGAUGUAGCUCCCAUCCCCUACAGGGGCGGACGUGAGGCAGCUCCCAGCCUGAGAAAGGGGACGGUGCUUCAGUGAACACAGUGAAGAGGAGCUGGUGAGAAAACACUGAAUACAUUGCACCUUUUAGAUCCAGGAACCCUUACUAAGAAUAUUCUAUCAGCAGUUUACCCCCUUCUUACUGCAGCUGCUGUUAAAUCAUUUAGCAUUACAGACUUACAGUUUAGAGACUGUGAAAAGAGGACAGCAUACGUGCCUAUACUUAUUUAUGCAUGCCAUGAUCAUACACUCAGUAUCAGCUGCCACGCUUCUAGUGAGCCCAAGGACAGUCAUUUCAUCUGUAACAGUUAUAUUUUAGCAGCCAACACAGUGGUAUGGACCAGUAGCUGCAGGCGGGACACAUUUAGCGGCUUAGAUACUUAGCGAUUCAGGCACAUUCAGCAACUCACCCUUAAAAGCAUAGAGGUGAGCAGGGGCUAAGUCUGAACCAAGUGAUCCAGUUAACCUAGCUAGGUUCACCAGAGUGUUGCAGAGAUUAUGGUCAGUCUUCACUAAGGAACAGUUCUUUAGAUCCACUGUAAUAAACUACAGCUUGCUAGUAACACAUUGGGCUCUGAGACUACCCAGGGAGUAAUUUGGAAGAUUUAGCAGUCUCCACAGUUACUCCAGCUGCAUGCAAGGUAACAUUGUUGCAAUUUCUCACAGACAGAACUCCAGCACCAAGACCUCUGGCUACACGGAAUAAGCUGCCAUUCUUCUUGUGUGAUUUCUCAGUUAUUACUUUUAGCAUACCAGGAUUCAGUGAUUAAUCUCAGAAGAUUGACUAUCUAGAGAAAGUGCACUAUACAGUAACUACGAAAUAUCUAUGUAUACUUAUAUGAACAUUACAGAGGCUGCAAAGGGGCCCCAAUUGAAAGAGGAAAACAAAUGCACAUUAUAAAAUUCUGACAGAUGAGUCAGCACUUGUUGCACCAGGUGAUGCACGAGGCAUGAGGCCCAGAAGGAGGAGGAGAGUUUAGCAUCAGACCAUUGGGCCAGUUGAGGACCUUGCCUGAAGGGCGAACAGAGCAAAGAAAUUGAGAAUGCUGCUAAGUGGUAGAAGAUUCUACAGACAAGCUACCAUGUAGGAGUUACAAUCACCAAGAAUACAGUAAAAAAAGCAGAACCCUAGAGCCAGUAACCAGAAAUGAAAUGCUGACGUUCUUCUUGGAUGCAUCACUUUAACUUAAAGUUAAGGUUAACUGGACCAUAGACCUGGCAAAGUGUGAUUCCUGUUAGGGCUACUACUAGCUACAGCCUCCUCAUCAGCAUGAUAAAUAUAAGGCUCAAAGGCAGCACAGAUGAACCCCACAUUCUGCUUGGCGCAACAGUAACCCCCUAAAUGCAAAACUGAUGUACACUCAUUGUCUUUUAUCAAGUACUUGAAAUUGUACAGGUUAUGCGCUGAAUUACAGUGAACUGUGCAUACAGUGAAUGGAAAAUCCCAUAUAUUCCAUAAGGAUGAAAGUAAGUGCAGUUCAUGCACAAAUCUCUAAGUGUGUGGCAAAAGCUCUUACAUAUCAUUUAGCAUUAUGUUGUGGGAGGUGCAGUACAAAACAAUCUCUUUAAAACACUUAAUGCUGCAUAAUUAAUGCCCUACUCCCUUCACAGUCUAUUUAAAUGUACAGCAUUAUAAACUGCAUUGAAUCUAAUAUUCCCAUAGACAAUACAGCUGGUAGAAAUGUUCCAUUUAGUUUGUUUCUGAUGAAUACAAGAAUAUAAAGUGCAGCUUUUAGCAGCGGCCACAACAUUACUCUUGUAAUAAUGUAGCUUGUGUUUAGUAUAUUAAAUACUGUGGCUGCACUGCAAGUGUGAAAGAAAAUAUUAGCAAUAAUCAAACACAGAAUUACCAAAAUUGUUGUGUUUUUUUUUCAGUUGUAAUAAACAAUAAAACAGAAGGAAAAAAUAGAAGUGCUCAUGUCACUCAAACAUUAUAUGGGUCAAGGAAUUAAAAAAUAUAUAUUUAUUAUAGAAAUAAAUAUAAACAUCUUUGAAAAAGUCACGGGUUACGUGACGAAACGCGUCAGAACUCUUCUCUCCUGGUCACUGAAUUGAAUACACAGCCUGGGACGCAUCUGCAAUUACCCCGCUCCAUUUGCUACAGCAGCGGGGUUACGCGUCCAGAGCUAACAGACGGCUGUUAUACGGGACCUUGUGCAGCAGCUCAAAGUAUCCAUUUCAACAUUAUUCCUCCCACCACUAACGGACAACGUACGUCCAGGGAUUACAGAAGUAGACCCACGUGCAGUGGGCUAACCGUGGCUGAACGGAACCGGCUGUCUGCACACCUGCUUCCUCCCCGAGACGUUGCAGCGGGCAGCGCCCGCCCGGGGAAACUGAGAAAAAUCUCCGUGAGCAGGUCAUUUGCGACUCACACGGACAUCCAAGUCAAUAUACCCCAUAGCCCUUUACCAGACUGGGCAUAUGUUGGCUAUACCCGAGGACGCUCGGGCUUCACCAGCUUCAUUGGAGAGGUAACGAUUUAAGAAAAUCUGCAUAACUAUUUAUAUUGGCUUUUUGAACCUUGAAGUUAGCCACAAACGGUUAAAAACCAUCUAAGAGCCUACACUUGUAAUCAGCGACUACUAUACACUGAAGUAACUGUGCUCAAUAUAAUAAGAAUAAUUUUUCCAUAGCAGGACUGGUUACUUUGUUGCACAUCUGCUGAAGAACAAUCUGUUACAUUUGGAUUACAAGUAGCCAUCUAAUUUACUUCACGGUUCUAAACCAGCUAUUGGAUUAAUAUAUAUAUAAUAUCCGUGUGAUUAUCUUAUAUCCAUGUAUUGUGGCUAUUCAGUGAUAAUAAGGUUAGCAUAACAUGUUCAUUUAUUAGGAUAUUUUAAAGAAAGUGAUUUUAUUUAUUUCUAUAAUAAAUAUAUAUUUUUUAAUUCCUUGACCCAUUGGUUGUUUUCAGGGUACUAUAAUGUUUGAGUGACAUGAGCGCUUCUAUUUUUUCCUUUUGUUCUAUUAAAUUAUAUGGGAGUUCGCACAUCUCCUUAUAGAGGCACACUUGCAUUUGGCAUUAUUUAGUCCCUGGUUUAAGAUAAAAUAUUGAUUCACUGAGCAAAUAAAGACACAAGCGCAGCAUUAUUUUCUCUGUAAUAAACAAUAAGUUUACUCAUUUUGCAGUUCCAUAAUUUAAGUAGAGUCCUGAUAAUAAAAUGUUUAUAUUAAA